UGAAAUAAUGACUUUGGAAUUU
rnacentral:miRNA from 1 species